UACGGAGGGUGCAAGCGUUAUCCGGAAUCAUUGGGUUUAAAGGGUCCGCAGGCGGACGUAUAAGUCAGUGGUGAAAGCCUACAGCUUAACUGUAGAACUGCCAUUGAUACUGUACGUCUUGAAUGUGGUCGAAGUGGGCGGAAUAUGUCAUGUAGCGGUGAAAUGCUUAGAUAUGACAUAGAACACCGAUAGCGAAGGCAGCUCACUAGGCCAUAAUUGACGCUCAUGGACGAAAGCGUGGGGAGCAAACAGG
rnacentral:misc_RNA from 1 species